GACGAACGCUGGCGGCGCGCCUAACACAUGCAAGUCGAACGAGCGAGAGAGAGCUUGCUUUCUCGAGCGAGUGGCGAACGGGUGAGUAACGCGUGAGGAACCUGCCACAAAGAGGGGGACAACAGUUGGAAACGACUGCUAAUACCGCAUAAGCCCACGGCUCGGCAUCGAGCAGAGGGAGAAGGAGCAAUCCGCUUUGAGAUGGCCUCGCGUCCGAUUAGCUAGUUGGUGAGGUAACGGCCCACCAAGGCGACGAUCGGUAGCCGGACUGAGAGGUUGAACGGCCACAUUGGGACUGAGACACGGCCCAGACUCCUACGGGAGGCAGCAGUGGGGAAUAUUGCACAAUGGGGGAAACCCUGAUGCAGCGACGCCGCGUGGAGGAAGAAGGUCUUCGGAUUGUAAACUCCUGUUGUUGGGGAAGAUAAUGACGGUACCCAACAAGGAAGUGACGGCUAACUACGUGCCAGCAGCCGCGGUAAAACGUAGGUCACAAGCGUUGUCCGGAAUUACUGGGUGUAAAGGGAGCGCAGGCGGGAAGACAAGUUGGAAGUGAAAUCUAUGGGCUCAACCCAUAAACUGCUUUCAAAACUGUUUUUCUUGAGUAGUGCAGAGGUAGGCGGAAUUCCCGGUGUAGCGGUGGAAUGCGUAGAUAUCGGGAGGAACACCAGUGGCGAAGGCGGCCUACUGGGCACCAACUGACGCUGAGGCUCGAAAGUGUGGGUAGCAAACAGGAUUAGAUACCCUGGUAGUCCACACCGUAAACGAUGAUUACUAGGUGUUGGGGGAUUGACCCCCUCAGUGCCGCAGUUAACACAAUAAGUAAUCCACCUGGGGAGUACGACCGCAAGGUUGAAACUCAAAGGAAUUGACGGGGGCCCGCACAAGCAGUGGAGUAUGUGGUUUAAUUCGACGCAACGCGAAGAACCUUACCAAGUCUUGACAUCCCUUGACGAUGCUGGAAACAGUAUUUCUCUUCGGAGCAAGGAGACAGGUGGUGCAUGGUUGCCGUCAGCUCGUGUCGUGAGAUGUUGGGUUAAGUCCCGCAACGAGCGCAACCCUUAUGGUCAGUUACUACGCAAGAGGACUCUGGCCAGACUGCCGUUGACAAAACGGAGGAAGGUGGGGAUGACGUCAAAUCAUCAUGCCCUUUAUGACUUGGGCUACACACGUACUACAAUGGCGUUAAACAAAGAGAAGCAAGACCGCGAGGUGGAGCAAAACUCAGAAACAACGUCCCAGUUCGGACUGCAGGCUGCAACUCGCCUGCACGAAGUCGGAAUUGCUAGUAAUCGUGGAUCAGCAUGCCACGGUGAAUACGUUCCCGGGCCUU
rnacentral:rRNA from 1 species